CAGUAGCCGCGGUAAUACGAAGGGUGCAAGCGUUACUCGGAAUUACUGGGCGUAAAGCAUGCGUAGGUGGUGGUUUAAGUCCGUUGUGAAAGCCCUGGGCUCAACCUGGGAAUUGCAGUGGAUACUGGGUCACUAGAGUGUGGUAGAGGAUAGUGGAAUUUCCGGUGUAGCAGUGAAAUGCGUGGAGAUCGGAAGGAACAUCUGUGGCGAAGGCGACUAUCUGGGCCAACACUGACACUGAGGCACGAAAGCGUGGGGAGCAAACAGGAUUAGAUACCCCAGUAGUCCCUGUCUCUUAUAU
rnacentral:rRNA from 1 species